rnacentral:lncRNA from 1 species
UUAAUUUCCAUGAGGACUCAUAUUGUUUCUCUUCUGUACAUGCAGAAGCAGAGCUCCUGGGGUGAAUCUGCUGGUGGCAUUUGGAGUGCUUUAUACCUGGAGCCUGACAAAAAAAGGUUCAAUCUAAAAUUUUUUGUCCCUGCAACAACCCCAUUCUCCUUCAAGACUUUGAAGCGUUUUCCAUGGUAUUAAACAGGACAGAUCUGCUCCUGCAGACGGUGGCAGUUCAACAGAGGAAUAUUCUAUGCUUUUCUGCUUCUGACACUCUACAAGUAAAAGUCUGUGGCCUGCGUGACCUGCAUCCGUUUAUAUUUGUACUCUUUUUUGGUAGGCUUUAUAAGUGAGUACAUAAGAACACUGAAACCGGAAGAAACCUCUGUAAUCUAUAUAAAUGUAUUUCUUAAAUGAGGCUGGAAAGGCCUCAUUGUUUUACAUUGGCUUCUUUAGAUCUGUGAUCCAUGAAAAAUGGAUACCCAAAGAGAAAUCCCUAUAUUCUGGAUUAUAUUCCAGGUGUUGCAGAAACUACCUACAAGUAUGAGGUGAUGAGUGACCCAAGAAUAUGUCCAUGUUACUGAGAAGAACCUAUUAUCUGGAUUGAAUUGAUGGAGAUUGUCACAAAAGCUGUUGUAACCUUCAUAUUAUAAUCUUUCUGAUAAUUGUGAUUGUGUUUCAUUCAAGAUUUGUAUGAAUUUCUUUAUAUUCCUUGGGUGUUUCAGCA